UACGUAGGUGGCAAGCGUUGUCCGGAUUUAUUGGGCGUAAAGCGCGCGCAGGCGGUUUCUUAAGUCUGAUGUGAAAGCCCUCGGCUUAACCGAGGAGGGUCAUUGGAAACUGAGAGACUUGAGUGCAGAAGAGGAAAGUGGAAUUCCAAGUGUAGCGGUGAAAUGCGUAGAGAUUUGGAGGAACACCAGUGGCGAAGGCGACUUUCUGGUCUGUAACUGACGCUGAGGCGCGAAAGCGUGGGGAGCAAACAGG
rnacentral:rRNA from 1 species